GACAGGAUGUGACUAGAGUCGUUCCCCAUGGUGCAUUCAUAGGAGUCAGAAUUUGGAGCACAACUUCCUUCUCUAGCCAGAUCCCAUGAUGACAGUACUGGAGAGCAUCAAGGCUGUGGCCCUUUCUGUGUGGAGUGAGCCCCACCCCAUGUGCUCACGAACUUGCUUCUCAGCUGGUGGAGCAGAUAUCAAAUAAAUUUAAAGAGCUCUUGCUCUUGCUCCUUCGCCUGCUUGCUGCGUGAGACUGAGUAACUGCUAGAUC
rnacentral:lncRNA from 1 species